rnacentral:rRNA from 1 species
GAUGAACGCUGGCGGCGUGCCUAAUACAUGCAAGUCGAGCGAACGGACGAGAAGCUUGCUUCUCUGAUGUUAGCGGCGGACGGGUGAGUAACACGUGGAUAACCUACCUAUAAGACUGGGAUAACUUCGGGAAACCGGAGCUAAUACCGGAUGAUAUUUUGAACCGCAUGGUUCAAAAGUGAAAGACGGUCUUGCUGUCACUUAUAGAUGGAUCCGCGCUGCAUUAGCUAGUUGGUAAGGUAACGGCUUACCAAGGCAACGAUACAUAGCCGACCUGAGAGGGUGAUCGGCCACACUGGAACUGAGACACGGUCCAGACUCCUACGGGAGGCAGCAGUAGGGAAUCUUCCGCAAUGGGCGAAGGCCUGACGGAGCAACGCCGCGUGAGUGAUGAAGGUCUUCGGAUCGUAAAACUCUGUUAUUAGGGAAGAACAUAUGUGUAAGUAACUGUGCACAUCUUGACGGUACCUAAUCAGAAAGCCACGGCUAACUACGUG